UACAGAGGUCUCAAGCGUUGUUCGGAUUCAUUGGGCGUAAAGGGUGCGUAGGCGGCGCGGUAAGUCGGGUGUGAAAUCUUGGAGCUUAACUCCGAAACUGCAUUCGAUACUGCCGUGCUUGAGGACUGGAGAGGAGACUGGAAUUUACGGUGUAGCGGUGAAAUGCGUAGAUAUCGGAAGGAACAUCAGUGGCGAAAGCGGCUUCCUGGACCAGCACCGACGUUCAGGCACGAAAGCGUGGGGAGCAAACAGG
rnacentral:rRNA from 1 species